CCGAGUGAGCGCCUCCGGGCGCGACCUCCAACCCUUUUGUGAUUAUACCUCUGUUGCCUCGGGGUGACCCGGCCCCGCCCGGCCCCCGAAGGACGAUUAGACCCAACUCUGCAUCUUUGCGUCGGAUUGAAAAGAUUAAUUGAUGA
rnacentral:misc_RNA from 1 species